rnacentral:rRNA from 1 species
AAAAGAUGGUGCAUGGUUGUCGUCAGCUCGUGUCGUAAGAUGUUGGGUUUAAGUCCCGCAACGAGCGCAACCCUUAAGCUUAGUUGCCAUCAUUUAAGUUGGGCACUCUAGGUUGACUGCCGGUGACAAACCGGAGGAAGGUGGGGAUGACGUCAAAUCAUCAUGCCCCCUUAUGAUUUGGGCUACACACGUGCUACACCCCGCCAAUACAAAGGGCAGCUAAACCGCGAGGUCAUGCAAAUCCCAUAAAGUUGUUCUCAGUUCGGAUUGUAGUCUGCAACUCGACUACAUGAAGCUGGAAUCGCUAGUAAUCGUAGAUCAGCAUGCUACGGUGAAUCGUUCCCGGUUCUUGUUCACACCGCUUUU